UACAGAGGGUGCGAGCGUUAAUCGGAAUUACUGGGCGUAAAGCGUGCGUAGACGGUUAUUUAAGUCGGGUGUGAAAGCCCCGGGCUCAACCUGGGAAUUGCAUUCGAGACUGAAUAGCUAGGGUACGGUAGAGGGAAGUGGAAUUUCCGGUGUAGCGGUGAAAUGCGUAGAUAUCGGAAGGAUCAUCAGUGGCGAAAGCGACUUCCUGGACCAGUACCGACGUUCAGGCACGAAAGCGUGGGGAGCAAACAGG
rnacentral:rRNA from 1 species